UACGGGGGGGGCAAGCGUUGUUCGGAAUUACUGGGCGUAAAGGGCUCGUAGGUGGCCAACUAAGUCAGACGUGAAAUCCCUCAGCUUAACUGGGGAACUGCGUCUGAUACUGGAUGGCUUGAGUUUGGGAGAGGGAUGCGGAAUUCCAGGUGUAGCGGUGAAAUGCGUAGAUAUCUGGAGGAACACCGAUGGCGAAGGCAGCUCACUGGGACGGUACUGACGCUGAGACGCGAAAGCGUGGGGAGCAAACAGG
rnacentral:rRNA from 1 species